rnacentral:tRNA from 1 species
GUGUGGCUCAGUUGGUAGAGUGCUUGCCUAACAUGCAUGAAGUCCUGGGUUUGAUUCCCAGCAC